GGUGAACGCUGGCGGCGUGCCUAAUACAUGCAAGUCGAGCGAACUGAUUAGAAGCUUGCUUCUAUGACGUUAGCGGCGGACGGGUGAGUAACACGUGGGCAACCUGCCUGUAAGACUGGGAUAACUUCGGGAAACCGAAGCUAAUACCGGAUAGGAUCUUCUCCUUCAUGGGAGAUGAUUGAAAGAUGGUUUCGGCUAUCACUUACAGAUGGGCCCGCGGUGCAUUAGCUAGUUGGUGAGGUAACGGCUCACCAAGGCAACGAUGCAUAGCCGGCCUGGGAGGGUGAUCGGCCACACUGGGACGGAGACACGGCCCAGACUCCUACGGGAGGCAGCAGUAGGGAAUCUUCCGCAAUGGACGAAAGUCUGACGGAGCAACGCCGCGUGAGUGAUGAAGGCUUUCGGGUCGUAAAACUCUGUUGUUAGGGAAGAACAAGUACGAGAGUAACUGCUCGUACCUUGACGGUACCUAACCAGAAAGCCACGGCUAACUACGUGCCAGCCGCCGCCGUAAAAC
rnacentral:rRNA from 1 species